rnacentral:rRNA from 1 species
UACAGAGGUCCCGAGCGUUGUUCGGAUUCAUUGGGCGUAAAGGGUGCGUAGGCGGUUUGCUAAGUUUUGAUGUGAAAUCCCGGGGCUUAACCCCAGGACUGCAUUGAAUACUGGCGGACUAGAGUACUGGAGAGGAAACUGGAAUUUACGGUGUAGCAGUGAAAUGCGUAGAGAUCGUAAGGAAGACCAGUGGCGAAGGCGGGUUUCUGGCAGACUUCUGACGCUGAGGUGCGGAAAGCGUGGGGAGCAAACAGGG